rnacentral:rRNA from 1 species
AUUGAACGCUGGCGGCAUGCCUUACACAUGCAAGUCGAACGGCAGCACGGGGGCAACCCUGGUGGCGAGUGGCGAACGGGUGAGUAAUGCAUCGGAACGUGCCCAGUAGUGGGGGAUAACCAGUCGAAAGACUGGCUAAUACCGCAUACGACCUUCGGGUGAACGCGGGGGACCGCAAGGCCCCGCGCUAUUGGAGCGGCCGAUGUCUGAUUAGCUAGUUGGUGAGGUAAAGGCUCACCAAGGCGACGAUCAGUAGCUGGUCUGAGAGGACGGCCAGCCACACUGGGACUGAGACACGGCCCAGACUCCUACGGGAGGCAGCAGUGGGGAAUUUUGGACAAUGGGCGCAAGCCUGAUCCAGCCAUGCCGCGUGCGGGAAGAAGGCCUUCGGGUUGUAAACCGCUUUUGGCAGGAACGAAACGACGCUCUGUAAUACGGGGCGCUAAUGACGGUACCUGCAGAAUAAGCACCGGCUAACUACGUGCCAGCCGCCGCAGUAACAC